rnacentral:lncRNA from 1 species
AUGGAGUCGAAUGAAGAAAUUGCUUCAGCUUCAAUUAAUACCGAGAAGGAUUGGACCAUAGUUUCGUAUAAAAACAUCAAAGGAGUAACCGUCUUUGACGUAAUUCCAAAUUUGUGGUUUAUAGAUGACAAGCACGAAAAAUGCUAUUAUCCGCCCUCAAUGCCUAAAUAUAGAGCCAAAAAUAAAGCGAAGCCGGAGCCUCACUGGGAACAGCUACGAGUGAAGGAGACAAAAUAUCAAUACUGUGUCUAUGAUCACGCCUGGGAGAAUUCUUGCCGCCUAAACUCCAAUCGCAACACCAAAAGUGCAUCGGACAAUGAGAAAAAGGGCAUCGGAUGCAGAAAGCGAAAACUUCGAGUUUUGUUUUCGCCAACACCUUCAGAGAAUAAGGUCAAGAGUUCUGCUGCUCCAGACCAAAUGGUCUUCCCUGCCCCUCCAAAGAUAACGAAUAACAAAAAUCAAAAAUCGACUUUUGAAAGUAAACUAGUCUUCCCUGCCCCUCCGAUUUCAACGAACAACAAAAAUAUUAAAUCAAAAAUUGAAAGUGAAGCAGAUGAAUCAGAUUCUAGACACUCUCCGAGUCUUCUGGGUCUGUCUUAUUUUGAUGAAAGAAAUCGCAGCAAGCGCAAUUCAGAUGUCAAGCGCAAUUCAGAUGUCAAUUUUGAUGAGGACAAUAACGUUGUCAACAGUGAUAUCAACAAUGAUAUCAACAGUGAUAUCAACAAUGAUAUCAACAGUGAUAUCAACAAUGAUAUCAACAGUGAUAUCAACAGUGAUUCCACCGGUCACACUUUGGCUUCCAUUGGCCAAGCCAUUUGCAGUUUGUCAAGCAAACUUUCUAAAGUUUCCAAAAAAAUAGAAACGUUGAGUGCAUUAGUCGAAAGUUUAGUCGAAAUUGAAAAACAAAGAGGGUCGGUUCCACCAAAAAAAUCUGAUCAAGAGAUCUUAGCGGACUUUCCCUUUACUGAUCCUGAGAAAUUGGUGGCAUACGAUGACAAAUUACGAGCGGAUGAGCAACUUUAUAACGCAGCGAAAAAUGCCCUUAAAGGGAAGGUUGAAAAAACCGGAGUCGUUGCCACUGCGAGAGGGUUUAUUAGAAAAAUAUUAGACCCUUCACUCUUUGUGCAUUUCAACUGGAAAGGACAAGGAGACCCAAAUAAAAGUGCUUUCACGGAUAUGAAAUUCUAUGAAAUGCAAAAAAGUAUCGUUACUGAAUUGUGGGGCGAUAGUCAUGCCGUUUUAUCAAAACUUGACAAGACUUGCAGCACAUUUUUGGUGCAAGAGGCGGGCAAGUUAAAGAGGCGCAAUCAGGAAAUUCCAGAUUCUGCUGAGAUGGAUGAUUCCAGUUCCGAAGAGGAAAAUUCGGAAAAUGAAUCAGCAACUGAAGAUGAUGCCUCUCUCUCCCACUGAUAGUAUUUCGUGAGAAUUUUCCUUUUUUUAGUUACCAUGUUACUUAUGCAUAUCUCCAAAAAUUUAUUUUCCUUGGUCAUUAUUCUUUGUCUGUAUUGUUCUUAUUUAAGUAUGUCUUGAUACUUAAUUGUCAGUAGCCAAAACUCUGAAUAUUAUUUUCACUGGCUGUGUGCAACAUUUUUUACACAACUACCAAGAUUUCGACCUUAGUCAAAUUUCGGUUAAUUUGUUCAACUCAAAGUGUUAAAAACACUUUAUAAAUAACUUAAGUUCAUUGUGUUUAUGUUCGAAAGUGUCAUAAAGUCUCUUGCAACUGUCAUGGAGUUCAUUAAAACAAUAAGCCUAAUGAUGCAAUGAACAUUAGAGGGGCUUGGAGGACAAGGCGCAUAAGUGCAUUGUUUGAAAAAAUUGAGAUAUUAAUGUUUCAUCCUAAAGUAGUUCUAAAAUAUAUUCUGUGACAAAUUCACCACAAAAAUUCAAUUCAAAGCAUCAAAAAGUGAGUUCCACUGUUUUUUUCUGAAAGUUUUUUUCUGGUGUGGGCUGUGUGUAAUUUUAAAACUUUAAAUGCAUAUUUCUUGAAAGAGCAAAACCCGCACUUUUGCGCCUUGUCCUCCAAGCUCCUCAUUUAACAAAUUAGCUUUUUGCUGCAAUAAAUAUUUAGCCUGUGAUUUUUUGUAAGGUAUUUAUCUGACUUUAGUCAUUUGUCAGCAAACUAUUUCGUUUGAAAUAUUUGUACUUGUGCUUCUAGUUUUUUCUCUCAUACUCAUUACUAUUUUCAACUAUUCAUUCAAUACGGUGGCCAAAUAUUUCUUGAAAUUAUUUGUUUUUGUGCCUUUAGUUUUUUCUCUCAUACUCAUUAAUAUUUUCCAAGUGCUCUAAAUAUUGUUUGUGUAAGUUGUCAAAUGAAAGUGUUCUAUUUUAUCCAUUCUUGAAAAGUUUUCUCUAAGAUGAGCUUUUCACAUUCAUUUUUGGAAAUGUAAUGUAGUCUCUAAUUUCUUUUCUGAAUGACAAGUGGACGUCUUCAACAAUGUGUUCCACUGAAUGUUGCGUUGUUGAUUUUGCACAAGAGAUCUCUUAGUCUUUGAUCUCAUUAUUGUUUAAUUCACAUUGUUUUGUUUCCUUAAAGUGUCCAAAUAAUACCUUGAAGGUUUACUCUUAACGGGUUUAAAUAAGACUUGUUUUUUCUAUGACUUUUUUGUUUCUGCAAAGUGUCUAAAUAUUUCCGUGUAAUACCUUGAAGGUUUACUCGACAGGUUUAAGUAAGACUCAUUUUUUCUAUGACUUUUUUUGUUUCCUCAAAGUGUCCAAAAUCCAUGUAAUACCUUGAAGGUUUACUCAAUGGGUUUAAAUAAGACUUGUUUUUUCUAUGACUUUAUUAAUAUAAAAAGUGGACGUCUUCAACAAUGUGUUCCACUGAAUGUUGCGUUGUUGAUUUUGCACAAGAGAUCUCUUAGUCUUAUAUCUCAUUAUUGUUUAAUUCACAUUGUUUUGUUUCCUUAAAGUGUCCAAAUAAUACCUUGAAGGUUUACUCUUAACGGGUUUAAAUAAGACUUGUUUUUUCUAUGACUUUUUUGUUUCUGCAAAGUGUCUAAAUAUUUCCGUGUAAUACCUUGAAGGUUUACUCGACAGGUUUAGGUAAGACUCAUUUUUUCUAUGACUUUUUUUGUUUCCUCAAAGUGUCCAAAAUCCAUGUAAUACCUUGAAGGUUUACUCAAUGGGUUUAAAUAAGACUUGUUUUUUCUAUGACUUUAUUAAUAUAAAAAGUUUUGUUCCUUCAUAUUUCUUUGUUCUUAUAAAUUUGUAUUUUUCUCCUGUAAUUGUUUGAAACCGUUUCAAAGUUUUCUUCAGCAUUUCUAAUGUAAAGCUUUUAAGCAUAUAUAUACAUUUUUUAAAUUCAUCCAAACCUUAAAGGAACCUAAAAAAACAUAGUAUGUGGGCUUUCAAAUAAAUUUGAAUGUAUAGUUAUUUUUUUCUUGGAAAUGGAAGAAGAAAAUUUUGAAGUGUCUCCAUGGAAUUUUCUUGUUAUUGGACAUGAAUUUUCGUCCUUCACACAAAUCGACUUGACUGGAUUGCAACAUUUCUGUUACCAGGUCAACACUUCACUCUCAAUUUAUGAAAAGUUUGGUAUUUUAGCCUGAAAAUAACAGUUUUCGUCAAGAAAGAUAAAUUCAUUUUUCUAGCAAAAAUGUGUAAAAAUGAUACGUUGACAGAGUUACUGAAAUGUCUCAGUCCAGAUGUGUUGCUUUAUGUGGGGGAUGGUGACUUACGCCUAAUAAAAAAUAUAAGACAGGGUGUCUACAGGUCUGGAAAACCGGGAAAAUUCAGAGAAUUUUAUCAAAAAGACCGGAAAAGUUUGGAAAGAGUGCAUUCACACAACCUACCACCAGGCUGCGGAACUGGCUUUGUUAUGAGCAUGUAUUAGUUUCGUGAAUAUAAGUUUCAAGUAGGAUUUGGAAUUUUAGACGAUUGAGUGAUAGAUACUGAAGGGGAAAAGGUUCACAUGCUUUUAUCAGUUAUGGUGAAACUAAUUUAAAAAAUAGUCUACAUACAAAAAAAUUGUUCAUUUUCAGCACUACGUGUCAAAUUGUCGAUGUACAAAAUCAGGGAAUUUUGAUCAAUAUGGUCAGGGAAAAUCUGGAAAAGUCAGGGAAAUUUUUCUUCCCAAAUCUGUAGACACUCCGUAUGAAUACACCAUUAAUACUGAAUAAAAAUAUUUUUGAGACUUGCACAAGAAAGUUAUCGAAAAAAUUUUUGGUACUCACUCGCGCGAUAAAUUUAUAUUGCGGACGCGUUUCGCCGGCUCUCUCUCCGGCAUCCACAGCGCAACUCCACGCGGGGUCGCGCUGAGGAUGCCGAAGAGAGAGCUGGCGAAACGCAUUCGCAAUAUAAAUUAAUCGCGCAAGUGAGUGCCAGAAAUUUUUUCGACCAUUAAUAAGUAAUGUGUAAAUAUAGUAUUAAUACUGUAUAAAUAUCAUAUCCAAAUACGGUAUAAAUAUGAUACCUAUAUACAGUAUUUUAAACCCUGGAAAUACUGGAAAAAAUACCAUAUUUUAUCAUGUAUUAAAUACGAGAUAAAAUAUCUAUUUUCAAAGUAUAAAAUACGUAUUUUGAUACAGAUAAAUACCGUAUCUUGAAAUAGUAUUUUAUUCGUAUUUUUGCUACUAGGGUGUCGAUUCUCAUGUUUUUUGAAUCUUAGAUUCCAAAAAAAUUGUCAUACAGACCCCUCGACCCACGGAAAUGACCAAAAUCCAAGAUGGCGGCCGAUUUUGGCUCUUUAGUGGCUAAAACGUCAAAUGUGGAGCAAAGAGAGGAGUAAACACUCCAGAUAUCUGUUUUCGAGGUCAUCUAUUCCAAAAAAAUAGGAGAAAAAAACAUCUCAUGCCAAAUGGUACUGAUUUGGACCAUGUAAAGACCGAACUCGGCAAUCAUUCUGAUUAGAGUGUUCAGAAACACUCUAUAAUCGGGACCCUCGACCCACGGAAAUGCACAAAAUCCAAGAUUGCGGCGAUUUUGGCUCCUGAAUGGCUAAAACGUCAAAUGCGGAGCAAAGUUCCCGAUCCUCGAAAAGCCUUUCAGGGAGUUCACUUACCCUCAUUCCUUCUGAAACCCUAUGUCGCUCGCUACCCUUUCACUGGGCAUCCACUUCGUCUCCUCCCGGGAGGAAUACCGAAUCAAGCAUCUUCUUUAGCAGUCCUUCGUAUGUCAUUUUAUUGACAUGGCCAUACCAGUCAAGCUGUCUGAUCAUGCCGUCGAAUACGAUGUCAUUUUCGACUCCCAUGAUCUGCCGCACUCUUUCAUUGCGAACCUGAUCGCUCCUAAAAAUUCCUACAGCCACCUCCUCCAGAAAUCCAUCCUCGUAGCUCUCAGCAUCCCUUGGGUCCGUUCCUUCAGCUGCCAAACUUCACUGUCAUAUAUAAGAAUACUUUUGACUUCAACUUUGUAAAUUUUUCUCUUGUUCUCUUUGGAAAUCCGCAGGUGAACGUUUUCGAGGGAU